rnacentral:rRNA from 1 species
GACGAACGCUGGCGGCGUGCUUAACACAUGCAAGUCGAACGGAAAGGCCCUGCUUUUGUGGGGUGCUCGAGUGGCGAACGGGUGAGUAACACGUGAGUAACCUGCCCUUGACUUUGGGAUAACUUCAGGAAACUGGGGCUAAUACCGGAUAGGAGCUCCUGCUGCAUGGGGGGGGUUGGAAAGUUUCGGCGGUUGGGGAUGGACUCGCGGCUUAUCAGCUUGUUGGUGGGGUAGUGGCUUACCAAGGCUUUGACGGGUAGCCGGCCUGAGAGGGUGACCGGCCACAUUGGGCCUGCGAUACGCCCCAGACGCCUACGGUAGGCAGCAGUGGGGAAUAUUGCCCAAUGGGGGGAAGCCUGAUGCAGCAGCGCCGCGUGCGGGAUGACGGCCUUCGGGUUGUAAACCGCUUUCGCCUGUGACGAAGCGUGAGUGACGGUAAUGGGUAAAGAAGCACCGGCUAACUACGUG